UACGUAGGGUGCGAGCGUUAAUCGGAAUUACUGGGCGUAAAGCGUGCGCAGGCGGUUCGCCAAGUCAGGUGUGAAAUCCCCGGGCUUAACCUGGGAAUUGCGCUUGAAACUAGCGGGCUUGAGUGUGGCAGAGGGGGGUGGAAUUCCACGUGUAGCAGUGAAAUGCGUAGAGAUGUGGAAGAACACCGAUGGCGAAGGCAGCCCCCUGGGAUGUGACUGACGCUCAUGUACGAAAGCGUGGGGAGCAAACAGG
rnacentral:rRNA from 1 species